rnacentral:rRNA from 1 species
UGGGGAAUCUUGCGCAAUGCGCGAAAGCGUGACGCAGCAACGCCGCGUGGGGGAAGACGGCCUUCGGGUUGUAAACCCCUUUCAGUUGGGACGAAGGUCGGCGGGUUAAUAGCCCGUCCGGCUGACGGUACCUUCACAAGAAGCCCCGGCUAACUACGUGCCAGCAGCCGCGGUAAUACGUAGGGGGCAAGCGUUGUCCGGAAUCAUUGGGCGUAAAGAGCGUGUAGGCGGCCUUAUAAGUCGGCUGUGAAAGUCAAGGGCUCAACCCUUGAAUGCCGGCCGAUACUGUGAGGCUAGAGUCCGGAAGAGGCGAGUGGAAUUCCUGGUGUAGCGGUGAAAUGCGCAGAUAUCAGGAGGAACACCGAUGGCGAAGGCAGCUCGCUGGGACGGUACUGACGCUGAGACGCGAAAGCGUGGGGAGCGAACAG